AUUGAACGCUGGCGGCAGGCCUAACACAUGCAAGUCGAGCGAGCGGCGGACGGGUGUGUCAUGUAUGGAGAUCUUCCCGAUAGAGGGGGAUAACUACUGGAAACGGUGGCUAAUCCCGCAUACUAUCCACUGAACCCAUAUGGGAUUCGCUAGUAGGUGGGGUAAAGGCUCACCUAGGCGAAGAUCACUAGCUGGUCUGAGAGGAUGAUCAGACACACGGGGACGGAGAAACGGCCCAGAAUCCUACGGGAGGCAGCAGUGGGGAAUAUUGCACAAUGGGCGAAAGCCUGAUGCAGCCAUGCCGCGUGUAUGAAGAAGGCCUUAGGGUUGUAAAGUACUGUCAGCGGGGAGGCGUUACCCGCAGAAGAAGCAACGGCUAACUCCGUGCCAGCCGCCGCGGUAAUAC
rnacentral:rRNA from 1 species